rnacentral:lncRNA from 1 species
CCACAGUUUUCCGAAUGCUGUUCUGGCAGUGCACUCACAUGGCUUUAAUCUUUUGCUGUCUCCACAUUUUCCAAUGACUGGCAGCUCACUCCACAUGCUUUGGUUAUUAUCAGAAUAUCCUGAAAUUCAAGUUUUCUCUCAAUGAAUCAUGUUAUUUCUAUCAACAGUGUACACUGUUCUUCCCGCAAAAGUGCUAGUUAAAGAAGAUAGCUGAUUCCAUAACCUGAGAUUAAUCACUGCUGGAUGAGCAAAGUCAAGCAUGCCAGGGAAACAGAACUAUAUGGAGUAGAAUCAUUCCAAAGAGCAUGGCCUUGUCUUCCAUUUUAAAGCAUCAAUGGAGGGUUAGAAUGACUAGCACCUCUUACCCUCUAGCCCCACUUUACUCCUUAGAAAAGGGUGGGGUUCUCACUUUAGCAAUACAUAUACUAAAAAUGGGAUGAUACAGAUGAGAUUAGCAUAGCCCUUGGACAAGGAUGACACAUAAAUUCUUGAAGCAUUCCAUUAAAAAAAAAGAUUUUUUAAAAAGGUUGGGGAACUCUUAGGGAGGUCCUAAGCCCUCCUUAUUUUCUUGAUACUUACAACCAGAAGACAAUGAAGUAUACGUACAAAUUUUCACAUGCAAACACUUUCUUGGCUUCCACUAUCUAUGACCAUGGCUUAAAUACAGAUGUAGAAAUAGAGGCCAGAGAAGUUAAAUGAUGUUCCAUCAAUCUUCUUUCAUUCUAGUUUGUGUAUUUAAGUAUUGCCACUGUGAUCAUUUUUCAGCUUUGCAAAAAUUUCAGUUCACAGACUUGUCUGUUUUUACCAAAUCCAUCAGCCAGAUUUUGCUUUUUCCCCUUCUUUAUUAAAUCGAGAUCGGCUUGCAUUCCCCAAACUAAACUUGUCCCUCUGCCUUUUUAUUAUAACUUCCUAACAAAAUCCCAAUUCUGGAUGAAUCAAACUCAGAUUUUUUCUGUGCUUGUACCUGAGCAGGUGAGUGCCCAUGAAAGAAGUCCCACUAUAGAUUAGUUCCAUGAUAAGUGCAUAACAUUUCAUUUUAAAUAAGCCCACAGUACUACUCAGAAGCCCUAUUGCUUGUCUCUGUUCAACUUCAUUCCAUUACUGACCAUUACAAACCUUUUCCAUUCUCUUAAAUCGUCUCAUCCCUUCUCCCCUGAUCUCAGCACAUGAGCUUGCCUCUUACUUUGAAAAACAAAAUCGAAACCAUCAGAUGGAAAUUCCCUCAUCUUUCUGAUUUGAAACAAGAAUCUUUCCACAUUCUCUCCUUUCCCUCCUGCUCUUCGUGUCUGUUUUGAAUUCUAACACUGCUCACACCUUCAAAAAUGUUACACUCAUUUUUUUCAUCUCUCUUAUAUAUCUUCCACAUACAUAAGAUGUAUGUAUGGAUACACACAUCUCAGCUAAAUGUAUCUCAUUCACUUUUAAACCUGUUCAUUUCUCCCUGACCAUAAAUAUAGAAACAAAUUACCUUGCCUACAUAUUUGUCUGCAGCUACUGCCCCAAUACUCCCAUCUUCUUCACAGCCAAAUUUCCAGAAACUUC